UACGGAGGGACCAAGCGUUGUUCGGAUUUACUGGGCGUAAAGGGCGCGUAGGCGGCAAUUCAAGUCAGUUGUGAAAUCUCCGAGCUUAACUCGGAACGGUCAACUGAUACUGCUUUGCUAGAGUACAGAAGGGGCAAUCGGAAUUCUUGGUGUAGCGGUGAAAUGCGUAGAUAUCAAGAGGAACACCUGAGGUGAAGACGGGUUGCUGGGCUGAUACUGACGCUGAGGCGCGAAAGCUAGGGUAGCAAACGGG
rnacentral:rRNA from 1 species